GACGAACGCUGGCGGCGCGCUUAACACAUGCAAGUCGUACGGGGUUCUCUCCUUCGGGAGGGGAUCCAGUGGCGAACGGGUGCGUAACACGUGAGCAACCUGCCCAUGCAUGGGGGAUAACCCGGGGAAACCCGGGCUAAUACCGCAUACGUUCUCCGGGUCGAGUGACCUGGAGAGGAAAGCUCCUGCAAGGGAGCGUGCGUGGAGGGGCUCGCGGCGUAUCAGCUAGCUGGUGGGGUAACGGCUCACCAGGGCGACGACGCGUAGCCGAUCUGAGAGGAUGAUCGGCCACAUUGGGACUGAGAUACGGCCCAGACUCCUACGGGAGGCAGCAGUGAGGAAUCUUGCGCAAUGGGCGAAAGCCUGACGCAGCGACGCCGCGUGCGGGAGGAAGCUCUUCGGGGUGUAAACCGCUGUCAGGGGGGAAGAACGGGCGCAGGAGGCAAUGCCUGCGUUUUGACGGUACCCCCAGAGGAAGCACCGGCUAACUCUGUGCCAGCAGCCGCGGUAAUACAGAGGGUGCGAGCGUUGUUCGGAAUUACUGGGCGUAAAGCGCGCGCAGGCGGCUCUUUAAGUCCGACGGUGAAAUGCCGGGGCUCAACCCCGUGCCCGCCGCGGAUACUGGGGAGCUGGAGACGAGUAGAGGCAAGCGGAAUUCCGGGUGUAGCGGUGGAAUGCGUAGAGAUCCGGAGAACACCGGAGGCGAAGGCGGCUUGCUGGGCUUGGUCUGACGCUGAGGCGCGAAAGCGUGGGGAGCGAACAGGAUUAGAUACCCUGGUAGUCCACGCCGUAAACGAUGAAUGCCAGCCGUUGGCGAGCUUGCUCGUCGGUGGCGCAGCUAACGCAUUAAGCAUUCCGCCUGGGGAGUACGGUCGCAAGAUUAAAACUCAAAGGAAUUGACGGGGGCCCGCACAAGCGGUGGAGCAUGUGGUUUAAUUCGAGGCAACGCGCAGAACCUUACCAGCCCUUGACAUGGCAGGACGGCUUCCGGAGACGGAUUCCUUCUCGCAAGAGACCUGCGCACAGGUGCUGCAUGGCUGUCGUCAGCUCGUGUCGUGAGAUGUUGGGUUAAGUCCCGCAACGAGCGCAACCCUCGCCCUUAGUUGCCAUCAUUCAGUUGGGCACUCUAGGGGGACUGCCGGUGAUAAGCCGAGAGGAAGGUGGGGAUGACGUCAAGUCCUCAUGGCCCUUACGGGCUGGGCUACACACGUGCUACAAUGGCGGUGACAGAGGGAAGCUACUCCGCAAGGGGAAGCCAAUCCCAAAAAGCCGUCUCAGUUCGGAUUGUCCUCUGCAACUCGAGGGCAUGAAGCUGGAAUCGCUAGUAAUCGUGGAUCAGCACGCCACGGUGAAUACGUUCCCGGGCCUUGUACACACCGCCCGUCACACCAUGGGAGUUGGUUCUACCCGAAGACGGUGCGCGAACCCGCAAGGGACGCAGCCGGCCACGGUAGGGUCAGCGACUGGGGUG
rnacentral:rRNA from 1 species